AGCAGCCGCGGUAAUUCCAGCUCCAAUAGCGUAUAUUAAAGUUGUUGCAGUUAAAAAGCUCGUAGUUGAAUUUCGGGGUUCUACCGUUGGUCGGGCUUUGUCUGUACUGGCGUGUGGAAUUUCUACCUUCUGGGGAACCAUCAUGUUAUUAAUUUAACGUGGUGGGAAACCAGGACCUUUACCUUGAAAAAAUUAGAGUGUUCAAAGCAGGCUUAUGUCUGAAUACAUUAGCAUGGAAUAAUAGAAUAGGACGGUGGUCCUGUUUUGUUGGUUUCUGAAUCACCGUAAUGAUUAAUAGGGAUAGUUGGGGGCAUUAGUAUUCAAUUGUCAGAGGUGAAAUUCUUGGAUUUAU
rnacentral:rRNA from 1 species